UACAGAGGUCUCAAGCGUUGUUCGGAUUCAUUGGGCGUAAAGGGUGCGUAGGUGGCGCCGUAAGUCGGGUGUGAAAUUUCGGAGCUUAACUCCGAAACUGCAUUCGAUACUGCAGGGCUAGAGUGCAGAAGGGGCAACUGGAAUUCUCGGUGUAGCGGUGAAAUGCGUAGAUAUCGAGAGGAACACCUGCGGCGAAGGCGGGUUGCUGGGCUGACACUGACGCUGAGGCGCGAAAGCCAGGGGAGCGAACGGG
rnacentral:rRNA from 1 species